UUCGGUGGCUAUAGCGGUGGGGAAACACCCGGUCCCAUCCCGAACCCGGAAGUUAAGCCCUCCAGCGCCGAUGGUACUGCACGGGAGACCGUGUGGGAGAGUAGGACGCCGCCGGAC
rnacentral:rRNA from 1 species